ACAACAGCAAUACAAUGCUGUUCUGAUAUAGCACACUUCUCCAUGUAUGCCAUUUUUUAAGUGCUUAUGCAUUUUUAAUUUUAAAUCGUUGGGGUAACCAGAGAGGCCCGACUUGGACACAAGUAUUACUCAAUUCUUCAACGACUCCAUCUAUGAUUUGUCUUUAGUGAAUGGUGUGAUGGUAGCGUAAAGUGUGCAGGCAGUCAAGACAAAAUGAUAACCUCUCUGUGUCUGUUAAUGACUCACCGACUCUGGCUCGUGAUAGGAACCCUAGCUCUCACUUCUAGAGGAUUUGCUGAAGAAGAUUUCGUCAAAGUGGGUACAAAAUUGAAGGACUUUGUGGCAACAAUGAAGGAUGCUAACUUAAAUCUGGGAUUACUAAGCUACGGCAUGAGGUUGAAGGGUAUGCCAAACAAAUUCCAACAAUUGGGUUCAAGAAAGAAACAAUGAAAUAUAAGGACUGAACAAGGUUCCCCACAUUGUAAAAGUUUUGUUGAUGGCGUUAAAUAGAGCCUCGGGGAGGAGUUGAUGACUUGAGCUGUAUGUGAUUUAGAAGGCUUCUUCUCGGGUAUUCAUCUGCAAGGACGGGCCAAUUUGAGAUGGGAUUACAUCAUUACUAAAUUUUGUAUAAAACAUUUUAAACCCUAGCAAUGUAUGAAACUUCCAAGGUUUCAAGAACAUUUGGGAUCAACAUCUUUCUUGAACAUGAGAGAAUAAUUAAAAUGCCCUACGUGGUGGUGGACUUUGAGGCACUUUCUGAACUCUUUUUGUUAGAUACUCUCUCUAAUCAGCAGUUAAGAGCAUGGAGCAUAAAUUUAGAUGAGGUUGUACAAUCAAAUCAUUAUCUUUUCAAUUGAAGUGGAAAAAUAUAACCAUGU